rnacentral:rRNA from 1 species
UACGUAGGGGGCAAGCGUUAUCCGGAUUUACUGGGUGUAAAGGGAGCGUAGACGGCAUGGCAAGUCAGAUGUGAAAGCCCGGGGCUCAACCCCGGGACUGCAUUUGAAACUGUCAGGCUGGAGUGCAGGAGAGGUAAGUGGAAUUCCUAGUGUAGCGGUGAAAUGCGUAGAUAUUAGGAGGAACACCAGUGGCGAAGGCGGCUUACUGGACUGUAACUGACGUUGAGGCUCGAGAGCGUGGGGAGCAAACAGG